UUUCAUUAUGCUCUUACACUACAUUCAUUUCCUCUUCUCUCUAGGAUCCCUCUAAUCUUCCACACGAUAGAGGUUUCUCAGGUGAGCCCUAACACUCAACCUACGUAGCUUCCUUAGAUUUCCGCAACUUUCUGGUCUCUGGAACCAAGCUCGCCUUCGCUCUCGUGGCUGAUGCUUUUGUGGUAACGAGGCAAAGAAAGAACUGGUGGUUUAUCUGAUUGACGCCUCUCCCAAAAUGUUUAGCACCACAUGUAUAAGGGAAAAUGAAAGUGAAGAAACUCAUUUUCAUGUUGCCAUUAGUUGUGUUACUCAGGCGCUGAAGACUUAGAUUAUUAAUAGUUCUUACGAUGAAGUUGCGAUAUGCUUCUUUAACACGGCUCAUUGUGUUCUUCAUUUCUAUGGACCAGCUUUGUGAUUCAAUAAUUUUCAACCACGACCAACCCCGGUGUUUUGGCUGCCUGAAUUGCAGAGGACCAUCACAUUGUGGUAUGGCUUGUAGUUAACAAGAUUGAAGGUUAUCCCAUAUGUUCUGUCAUUUGUUAUACCUCGAGCAUGACUAUUGAUGUUGAUAAAAAGAACCCACACUAGUGUCUCCAUUAGAAUGUUGAUUAUUGGUUCUCAGCUCAAUUGCUCACUCAUAGUGUCUGUGUUAUGUGAUCUCGACAGACUUCAGGUGAGCCUUCAGUUAUUCGUCUUUUUUUUUAAACUUGAUCAAGAACCAUAAUUGAUUAUUUUGCUGGACCUGAUAGACUGGAGAAAGUUGGAACUUGUGGUUAUGUGAGUCACCUAAAAAUCUUGCAUCACGAUGACUAUUCUUGAAUUCAGUAUGUGAAGAUCCUUUUAUAUUUCUAAUAGGUUACAUCUUUAAGAUAUCCGUCUGGUUGUGCGAAGAUAGUAUCGAUUAAUGGAAUGGUUUUGGUUGGUUUGGUUCCUUAAUGACUGUGUAAGUUAAUUUAAUUCUUAAUCUGUUUUUCAUGCCAUAUUUUGCUAAUUAAGUUUAAAAUAUUUUAGAAUUGUAUGCCUAUUUGGAGUUUAUUUAUUGACAGAUAUUGUUUAUCGAUUCUACUCCCUCAGGAU